rnacentral:rRNA from 1 species
CGCGUAGGAAUCUGCCUAGUAGCGGGGGACAACACGGAGAAAUCCGUGCUAAUACCGCAUACACCCUACGGGGAAAGAGGGCCUCUUCUUGAAAGCUCUUGCUAUUAGAUGAGCCUGCGUCGGAUUAGCUAGUUGGUAGGGUAAUGGCCUACCAAGGCAACGAUCCGUAGCUGGUCUGAGAGGACGAUCAGCCACACUGGGACUGAGAUACGGCCCAGACUCCUACGGGAGGCAGCAGUGGGGAAUAUUGGACAAUGGGGGCAACCCUGAUCCAGCAAUACCGCGUGUGUGAAGAAGGCCUGAGGGUUGUAAAGCACUUUCAAUAGUGAGGAAAAGUUUAAGGUUAAUAACCUUGAACCCUGACGUUAACUAUAGAAGAAGCACCGGCUAACUCCGUGCCAGCCGCCGCGG